AGACAACGAAGAAAACGGUUAGGAGUAGGAAUUUCUGAUGGGCAGUGCGACUGAUUUACUUGUUUAGGCACAACGUCCCUCUGGUCUUUUCUUUAGACUACAGAUGAAUGUUAUGUUGUGUUUGGUUGGUGGGAAUGGAAUGGUAUGGGCCGGGCUGAGAAUGAAAUGACCAUUGCUUCUGUAGGGACUUAAAACAUGUUCGGUUAAUCAAUUGGAAUGAUCAUUCCAUUCCUUUAGUUAUUCCCUUUAAAAUCUGAAAGCUAUUUUUCAUUCCUUUCUAAAUAGGUGGGUUUAUUUAAUUCCGUCUAAGCUUAGUUCAUUUUUCCGAUCGAUCCAUCCACCCAUCGCCAGCUUCGCUCGCCUCUCCUCCAUCACAGGUAUAUAUGUCCCUCUUCUCUCCUCUCUGUUCUCUCUUCUCUUUUCUCUCUGUCCUCUAUCUCCUACAUCUAUCAUCUGAAAUUGAUUUUUGUUUUCUAGGGUAAUUUUUCUUCCUUUGCUCUUUGUUGUUCUCUUUCAAUUCGGUAAGACAUCUAAUCUCAGUUUAUCAUCUUUUUGUGCUUAAUCAAAUCUGAUUUUGGUUAUAUGUGGUGAUUUUGAUGCUCAAUCAAUUUUUAAUUUGGAUAUAUGAGCAUUUUGGCAGUAAUAGCUUUGUAUUUGGUAAUAGGUUGAUCAUGAUUCAUGUGUUAACUUAAUCUGCAUCUGAUUAUUGAAAAUAUAUUGUAUUAUAUUAAAUGUGUUUGCCAUUUAUAUAAUGCUCACUACCUGUUUGUGGAAAUGCCCAAGUGCGUUGCAGCAGUGGGUGUUCCACUUCAUGAACUCAGAAUUAUGCCUAUUGGCAUCCAUAAUAAGAUUAAAAGCUCAACAAUUGGUGUAGGAUUCUGUUUGUGGACAGAAUUAUGCCUAUUGGCAUCCAUACGAAUUGGUGUAAAAUUAUGCCUAUUGCCUAUGGUAACAUUGAAAUGAUUUUGAACAUAGAUGAUGAAAUCCUUUAAUGUAGACAAAACAUGUUUUUUGGUAGGAAGAAGAAAUGCCCAUGUUGCUCUAGAGAAAUCAUCUACAAUAGUCAAGAAAUAUUUGCAACCAUGAAAUGUAGAAAUUUUAUAUGGUCCCCAAAGGUCAUAAUGUAUGAAAUGAAACAAACCAACAGCUCUAGAUUUGCUAGUAUUGAAGGGAAUUUUAGUUUGUUUGGCUUAGUAUUUAAGGGAAUUUUAGUUUGUUAUAUGUGGUGAUUUUGAUGCCAAAGGAGACUAGGAACAGUUGCAAUUGAAUGUACUGUUGUGCCUUUAUUAGGUGUUGUGGUAAGGUCGUAUUACCCAUCUUUCAUUCUACUAGUUGCCAAGAUGGUCAUUUGGUGUUUGUCCUGAAACUUCCAUGUAUUUGAAAAAAAAUUGACAAAACAGUUAGAGUCGUGUGUGAUACUAAUGGAAAGUAGGUUAUAGUGAAAUAUAGGAACAUACAGAACAUAGUGUAAAGUCAUAUUAGGAUUUAGCUUGACUGAACCAGACUUUUUAAGUGAAAUACAUACUCCAGUAGGAAGGGAAACUUGUGUAGAAGAAGGUAAAUUAGUUAUGCAAUGCAUUAAAUGAAUCCAAACCUCAUAUUGAAUGAAUAAUAUUUGGUUGGAUGGAGUGAAACACCCACUGCUGAAAUUUCCUGAUUCCAAUUUAUAUCAAUGUAUACUGUUUGAUGUUAGCAAAAAGCACCUUAGCAUCUGUGAAUGUUUCAUGUCUCAUUACACUGGUGGUGCCUCCAUUCCUUUUCUGCUUCAACUUUGGAUCUGUUCAGUCAUCUUUCUUGGAAUCAAGUUUUUUUUAUUAUUAUUUCAACUAGAGCCAAGUUCAAACAUUUAGUUUCAAUUUCUUGAAAAGAUGCAAUUUGGUGUAACUAUUAUGAUUAACCAAGCUCUAAUUGCAUGCAUUUGCAUAUGCUUUUCUUUGCAGUGCCUGUUUUGCAAAAUUGUCAUCCUUAAACCCUAUAAUAUUUAUACAUAUGCUUUUAUUUGCAGUACAUGUUUUGUAUUUUGGGACAAAAAUAUUCAAAACUUUCAUUGCAGGUAUGAAUCAAGAUACAAAACCCAAUAAUUUUAGCUUGUUGCAUCCUUCACAACUAUAUAAGAGCUGAAAUGCCCAAUGAUCCAUUUGAGUUGGGCCUUGGGCCUUGAGGUUGAAGAUAAUGAGGCAGAAAAUGAGCCAAUUAAAGACACUAUCAUAACUAUUGGCAGUUCGAAUGAGUGGACAACUUUUCGGAACCACCUUGCUGAAAAGAUUUUUAAUGAGUGGAGGAAUGUAAAUAAUCGAGUGAAGUCUUGGUAUAAUUGUCCUAGAAUUUUAACUUUUUAAUAAUCGUACUUUUUGUAGUUUCAUUUUAUUAUCCUUGUUAAAAAUUGUUAUUAUAUUAUGUUCAUUAUUUUAAAUUUGAAUAAUUAUUAGUAGUGGUUGUUUUUAAAAUAUUUAUGCAUUAUGUCUUCCUAGUACUUACUGAAUAAAUAAGAGGGUGAGCAUCAUAUCUUGAAUCUCUUGUACUCGAGGAAUAAUAAAC
rnacentral:lncRNA from 1 species